rnacentral:rRNA from 1 species
UACGAAGGGGGCUAGCGUUGUUCGGAAUUACUGGGCGUAAAGCGCACGUAGGCGGACUUUUAAGUCAGGGGUGAAAUCCCGGGGCUCAACCUCGGAACUGCCUUUGAUACUGGAAGUCUUGAGUAUGGAAGAGGUAGGUGGAAUUGCGAGUGUAGAGGUGAAAUUCGUAGAUAUUCGCAGGAACACCAGUGGCGAAGGCGGCUUACUGGUCCAUUACUGACGCUGAGGUGCGAAAGCGUGGGGAGCAAACAGG